rfam:Myceliophthora thermophila ATCC 42464 chromosome 6, complete sequence.
GGUCGGGUGGCGCAACGGUAGCGUGUGGUCCUCCUAUUAGAAGGAAUCAGACUGAGGUUGUGGGUUCGAGUCCCACCUCGAUCG